rnacentral:SRP_RNA from 2 species
GGCCGGGAACUGCGCGGCAGCAGGCUGGUGAACCCCGCCAGGGCCGGAAGGCAGCAACGGUAAGUCGGUUCUCUGUGCGACGCACCAUUCCCGGUUAAU